ensembl:snRNA U6 U6 spliceosomal RNA
GUGCUUGCUUCGGCAGCACAUAUACUAAAAUUGGAACAAUACAGAGAAGAUUAUCAUGGCCCCUGCGCGAGAAUGACACGCAAAUUCGUGAAGUGUUCCAUAUUUUU